rnacentral:lncRNA from 1 species
UCAUGAGCCGGUAACCGCUUAUCCAGCCGUUGGAUCCAGUUCCGCGCCUUACGCUGGACACGCCGGAGCUUACCCACCUCCGCCAGCGGGAUACGGCUACCCACCGCCACAACAAUACGGUGGGUAUCCUCCGCAACAACCGCCUCCUGGAUACGGGUACCCACCACCUCAUCCGGGUUAUGGGUACCCGCCACAACCCGGGUAUGGAUAUCCACCGGUGCAGCAGCCACCAAAGAAGAACAGUAAAUUCGGGAUGGGAUUGGGAGCUGGGCUACUAGGAGGGGCUCUGGGUGGACUUCUGAUUGGAGAUAUGGUUUCCGACGCGGCGUCGUACGAUGCCGGU